rnacentral:rRNA from 1 species
UACGUAGGUCCCGAGCGUUGUCCGGAUUUAUUGGGCGUAAAGCGAGCGCAGGUGGUUUAUUAAGUCUGGUGUAAAAGGCAGUGGCUCAACCAUUGUAUGCAUUGGAAACUGGUAGACUUGAGUGCAGGAGAGGAGAGUGGAAUUCCAUGUGUAGCGGUGAAAUGCGUAGAUAUAUGGAGGAACACCGGUGGCGAAGGCGAUUCUCUGGACUGUAACUGACACUGAGGCUCGAAAGCGUGGGGAGCAAACAGG